CUACGGGGUGCUGCAGUGGGGAAUCUUCCGCAAUGGGCGAAAGCCUGACGGAGCAACGCCGCGUGAGUGAAGAAGGCCUUCGGGUCGUAAAGCUCUGUCUUUAGGGACGAACCGUACGGGGAGUAAUAUGCCCUGUGCCUGACGGUACCUGAGGAGGAAGCUCCGGCUAACUACGUGCCAGCAGCCGCGGUAAUACGUAGGGAGCGAGCGUUGUCCGGAAUUACUGGGCGUAAAGGGCGCGUAGGCGGGGGUUUAAGUAAGGUGUGAAAACUAUAGGCUCAACCUGUAGACUGCACUUUAAACUGGAUCUCUUGAGGGCAGGAGAGGAAAGUGGAAUUCCUAGUGUAGCGGUGAAAUGCGUAGAUAUUAGGAGGAACACCAGUGGCGAAGGCGACUUUCUGGACUGUACCUGACGCUGAGGCGCGAAAGCGUGGGGAGCGAACAGGAUUAGAUACCCCGGUAGUC
rnacentral:rRNA from 1 species